UACGGAGGGGGCUAGCGUUGUUCGGAAUUACUGGGCGUAAAGCGCGCGUAGGCGGACCUGCAAGUCGGGGGUGAAAGCCCGAGGCUCAACCUCGGAACUGCCUUUAAGACUGCAUCGCUUGAAUCCAGGAGAGGUGAGUGGAAUUCCGAGUGUAGAGGUGAAAUUCGUAGAUAUUCGGAAGAACACCAGUGGCGAAGGCGGCUCACUGGACUGGUAUUGACGCUGAGGUGGCGAAAGCGUGGGGAGCAAACAGG
rnacentral:rRNA from 1 species